UUAAGGGUUAUUGAGGUUUAAGUGGGUCAAGGUCUCAAAAAGUAGAAUUUUAGGUCUAGUGAGGGUUAUUAAGAUUUCUUGCAAUCUACUAGUUGGAUUGGAGUUAAAUUUAUGAGUGAGGAUAGUAGACUUGUUUGCCUAUAUACAUGAGAAUUUUAAGAUCAAUCAAACAAUGAAAAAGAAAAAUAUUGGCUCUAAAAGAUUGGCAUCAAGGUCAGAGAAGGAGGUUGACCAAUACUCAAGCACGUUUUUGAAGUUAUCAUGUAUUUGGUAAUUUCGAUCUUUUUAAAAAAAUUUGUGCUUAUUUUUAAUUUAAUUUUUAAAAAGUGUGUAAAUUUUGAAUUAAGAUCAAUGGUUUUUUCAUCAGUUAUUGAGGUUUAAAUCUGUUAUAAGAAUUAUUAGGGUUUGAUUUAGGAUUUACGGUUUGGUUAAGAUUUGAUUUGAGGUUAGGAUUUGAUUUAGGAUUAGGAUUUGAUUAGGAAUUGAUUUAGAGAUUAAUAUUAAAUUAGGAUUUUAUUUAGAGUUUAAGAUUUUAUUAGAAUUUAUUUAAGAUUUAAGAUUUAGUUAGUUUUUGGCUUAAAGUUUGAAUGAAGUCCAAUAGGAUUUUAACUAGGAUUAAAUUAAGAUUGAAUUGAGAUGUAUUUGAGAUAUAUUUGUCAUUAUUCUAAUAUUUUUUUAAGAUUUUUUAUUAUUUCUUUGUAAUUCCUUUGAGGUUUCUUUGAAUUUACUUAAAGCUUG
rnacentral:lncRNA from 1 species